GGCAAGAUGGCCGAGUGGUCUAAGGCGCUAGAUUUAGGUCAUUCUUUGAUCAGACUCUAGUCUUCGGGCGUGGGUUCGAAUCCCACUCUUGUCA